AAAAAGAAGAAGAAAACAAAGAAGACCAAUUAUUUUCUUCAAUUGUUUUUUAAUUUGUGCAGUGGUAGUAUGGAUCACCUUCUUAUUAUUGUUCUAUCUCAUAUAUAUAAGGCCGGGGGGGGGGAGGGAGAGGAGGAUGAUAACAAUAUAAUGAUAAUACCGAGAUGUAAUGCAAAGCUGAUCUCUGUAGUCUUGCAGAUGUCAUAAUUUCCAUGUAAUAAUAAUGAAAG
rnacentral:ribozyme from 14 species